rnacentral:rRNA from 1 species
GAUGAACGCUGGCGGCGUGCCUAAUACAUGCAAGUCAAACGAAACUUCUUUAUCACCGAGUGCUUGCACUCACCGAUAAAGAGUUGAGUGGCGAACGGGUGAGUAACACGUGGGCAACCUGCCCAAAAGAGGGGGAUAACACUUGGAAACAGGUGCUAAUACCGCAUAACCAUAGUUACCGCAUGGUAACUAUGUAAAAGGUGGCUAUACUACCGCUUUUGGAUGGGCCCGCGGCGCAUUAGCUAGUUGGUAGGGUAAAGGCUUACCAAGGCAAUGAUGCGUAGCCGAAUUGAGAGGUUGAUCGGCCACAUUGGGACUGAGACACGGCCCAAACUCCUACGGGAGGCAGCAGUAGGGAAUCUUCCACAAUGGGCGAAAGCCUGAUGGAGCAACGCCGCGUGGGUGAAGAAGGUCUUCGGAUCGUAAAACCCUGUUGUUAGAGAAGAAAGUGCGUGAGAGUAACUGUUCACGUUUCGACGGUAUCUAACCAGAAAGCCACGGCUAACUACGU